rnacentral:lncRNA from 1 species
GAAGCUAGGUCCGCCCAAUCCAUAGCCAUAUCUAGGUCUGAUCCGAAGUCAGAACCAAGCCAAUUCGAAGCCAUAUCCAAGCCUGAUCUGAAGUUAGAUCCAGACCUAGGUCAAUUUGAAGCCAAAUCUAGACCAAUCCAAAAUCAAAUCUAGGCCAAUCCGAGGCCCAAAUCUAAGCCAAUAUGAAGUCAGAUCCAGGCCAAUUUGAAGCCAGAUUCAGGCUGAUCUGAAGUCAGAUCUAGGCCAACCUAAAGUCAAGAAUCAAAACUAGUUUGAAGUUAGAAUCAGACUGAUCCGAAGUUCAAAUUCAGUCCAAUCCAAAGUCAGAUCUAGGCCUGAUCUGAAGUCAGAACUAGGCUAAUUCGAAGUCAGAUCUAGGUCUGAUCCGAAGCCAGAUCUAGGCCUGAUCCGAAGCCAGAUCUAGAUCAAUUUGAAGCUAGAUCUAGGCCAAUCUGAAGUCAGAUCUAGAUCAAUCUGAGGCCCAGAUCCAGACUAAUUUAAAGCUACAUCCAGGCCGAUUUGAAGUUAGAUCUAGGCCAACUUGGAGUCAAGAAUCAAGACUAAUCUAAAAUCAAAAUCAGACUGAUCCAAAGUCCAGAUGCAGAUCAAUCCGAAGCCAGAUCUAAGUCAAUUUGAAGCCUAGAAUUAGGCUAAUCUGAAGCCAACUCUAGGCCAACCCGAAGCCCAGAAUUAGGCUUAUCCAAAGCU